UCCAGCUUAUCGCUGGCGGUCUCCUGCGAGUGCUAUCUUUCGAUGUGGCAACACAGGACAAGGGUUGCGCUCGUUGCAGGACUUAACCCAACAUCUCACGACACGAGCUGACGACAGCCAUGCAGCACCUGUGCUAGCUCCCCGACGGGUCCAUCACCUUUCAGAUCAGUACUACUAGCAUGUCAAGCCCAGGUAAGGUUCUUCGCGUUGCAUCGAAUUAAACCACACGCUCCGCCGCUUGUGCGGGUCCCCGUCAAUUCCUUUGAGUUUUAGCCUUGCGGCCGUACUCCCCAGGCGGGGCACUUAAUGCGUUAGCUGCGGCACGGGGGGAGUCGACACCCCCCACACCUAGUGCCCAUCGUUUACGGCGUGGACUAC
rnacentral:misc_RNA from 1 species